GGUCAAGCGAACAAGUGCACAUGGUGGAUGCCUUGGCACAGACCGGCGACGAAGGACGUGGCAAGCUGCGAAAAGCCUCGGGGAGCUGCAAGCAAGCUUGGAUCCGGGGGUAUCCGAAUGGGGGAACCCGGCGGGAGCGAUCCCGUCACCCCGAAGGGGGAGCCAACCCAGGGAACUGAAACAUCUAAGUACCUGGAGGAACAGAAAUCAAUCGAGAUUCCCAGAGUAGCGGCGAGCGAAAAGGGAAGAGCCCAAACCCGGGCGAGGUGACUCGACUGGGGGUUGCGGGGCUGCAUCGCGCAGGCGGACCGAAGCAUAGCGGAACGGUGCUGGAACGUACGACCACAGAGGGUGAGAGUCCCGUACGCGAAAUGCGAGUAGGCGAGCCGAUGUGGACCCCGAGUAGGCCGGGACACGUGAAAUCCUGGCUGAAGCUGGGAGGACCAUCUUCCAAGGCUAAAUACGAGUCUGUGACCGAUAGUGAAGAGUACCGUGAGGGAAAGGUGAAAAGAACGCCUGACGGCGAGUGAAAUAGACCCUGAAACCGUGUGCAUACAAGCGGUCGGAGCCCGACUCGCGUCUCCGGAUGCGAGGGUGGGUGACGGCGUGCCUUUUGCAUUAUGAUCCGGCGAGUUACUCCUCGUGCGCGAGGUUAAGGGCCUCUGGUCCGGAGCCGAAGCGAAAGCGAGUCUGAAUAGGGCGGCGAGUGCACGGGGGUAGACCCGAAACCGAGGCGAUCUAUCCAUGGCCAGGGUGAAGCUGGGGUAACACCCGGUGGAGGCCCGAACCGUUGUGGGUUGAAAACUGCUCGGAUGAGCUGUGGAUAGGGGUGAAAGGCCAAUCAAGCUCGGAGAUAGCUGGUUCUCCCCGAAAUAUAUUUAGGUAUAGCCUCAGGUAAUUGUCUGGAGGAGGUAGAGCACUGGAUGGGCUAGGGGCCUUACCAGGUUACCGAACUCAACCAAACUCCGAAUGCCUCGCAGAUGUAUCCUGGGAGUCAGUGAGCGGGCGAUAAUGUCCGGUCGCGAGAGGGAAAGAGCCCAGACCGUCAGCUAAGGCCCCCAAGUUCAUGCUAAGUGACAAAGGAUGUGGAUGUGCAGAGACAGCUAGGAGGUUGGCUUAGAAGCAGCCAUUCCUUUAAAGAGUGCGUAAUAGCUCACUAGUCAAGUGGAUCCGCGCCGAUAAUGGUCGGGACUCAAGCAUGGCGCCGAAGCUACGGAUGACGCAAGUCAUGGUAGGGGAGCAUUCUCUGGUCGGAGAAGCGGACCCGGGAGGGCAUCCGUGGAGAGCAGGGAAGAGAGCAUGCCGGAAUGAGUACGCGAUAAACAGGGUGAGAAUCCCUGUCACCGAAAGCCUAAGGGUUCCGGAGCCAGGCUUAUCCGCUCCGGGUUAGUCGGCCCCUAAGCCGAGGCCGAAGGGCGUAGGCGAUGGGAAACAGGUUAAUAUUCCUGUACCGACCAAGCAGCGUUUGACCGCGAGGGGGGACGCGGAAGUGACAGGACCGUCGGGUGGUGGAAUAUCCGAUGCAAGGUGGUAGGCGUUGAGAGGGGAGAAAAGACCUCUUUAGCCGAGCGCCGAUGCCGAAGGGGAUAUAUCCCUGCAAAGGGUCCGUAAUCAUGCCGCCAAGAAAAGCCUCGCGCGGGAGGUGCUUGGACGACCGUACCGCAAACGGACACACGUAGGCGAGGCGAGUAGCCUAAGGUGCUCGAGUGAUCCGCGGAGAAGGAACUCGGCAAAUUGUCCCCGUAACUUAGGGAGAAGGGGAGCCUGUGGUAGGUGAACCAAAUGCUAGGGGAGCCGAAGCAGGCCGCAGAGAAUCGGCCCGAGCGACUGUUUAUUAAAAACACAGGUGUCUGCAAAGUCGCGCAAGACGACGUAUAGGCACUGACGCCUGCCCGGUGCCGGAAGGUAAAAGGAAGGGGUUAGGGUGCAAACUCGAAGCUCUGAACUGAAGCCCCGGUAAACGGCGGCCGUAACUAUAACGGUCCUAAGGUAGCGAAAUU
rnacentral:rRNA from 1 species